AGUCCAUUUGUGGGGCAAAAGGAGCCGUCGCCGUCGCGGGUUUUGAUUUUGAGGGCAGUGUUAGAAACGUAUGUAAUACAUAAAACUAUUGGACGCAGGAUAUCAUGCAGUGGCUGUAGUUUAGUGGUCAAGGACAAGGACCAUGCAGAUAAUUCAGAGAACAAUGUUGCGGUGGUGUCUAAUGCCGAUACAUAUGAGACUUCAAAAGAACCAUCUUCUUCGGAGAAAAUUGAUCUGAUGGAUAUAGUUUCAUUUAAACGAGAGAAUUUUGUUCAGAGUUGACACCCACCUGGAGAGCACUAUGAUACAAUUCUUUGUUUGAGUGUCUCAAAAUGGAUACAUCUAAAUUGGGGGGAUGACGGUUUAAUUACAUUAUUUUCAGAGACUUGGAAGCUGCUCAAACCUGGUGACAUUUUUGUGUUGGAACCUCAGCCAUGGAAGUCAUAUGUAAGCAAUCGUAAUGUCUCUGAGACCACCAUUGCCAACUUCCGCAAUAUUAUGUUUCGUCCAGAACAGUUUCAGGAAAUACUGCUAGAUAAGAUUGGAUUUAGAACAGUAGAAGAUAUCACUUCAGGGUUGACUGGUAGCAAGGCUGGUUUCAAUAGGCCAAUUUUGUUUUUUCAGAAAUGAUACAUGUACACCUUUCUGCAACAUAGUAUAAAUAGGGAUGAAUUAGAUGAUUUGCAAUCUUCUCAAUUCCUCACAUCUGAACUCUAAACGUGCUUCAUACAAAAGUAGUAUUUGGAAGUCGAUGAUCGAGCCAAAGAUGUAAUUGUCAACAAGGAAGAAGAUGCUAUUCCCCUCCUUGCAGAUGUUAUUCUGUUGCAUGUCCUGGGAAAUGCUAAGACGAUGAAGGUAUGGAGGAAAUUCUCUGCAAAAGGAGGUCUCUCUCAUACGGUUUCUUUUCCUAAAACGGGUAGGGAUCCUCUUAAAUAGACACUUUUGGGUAUUAUGUUAAUCUGGCAGGGUAGGUAAGUGUUUGUGGAUAAAUGGAUCCUCAUAUCCCCUAAGCUUUUGUUUGUUAUUUAUCUCUGGUUUUAUAUUCAAACCAUGCACACAUUCAUAAGUAUUGUUUCAAACUUGAUUAUUGAGAGAUAGAUUGUUUUCCAUUAAGAAUUUUUUUGUCUGCUUUUGGAAACCUGUCUUGGACUUGCUGAGUUAUUGACAAUCUUAGGACAUGCACCUGACGACUUAAAAUACACCCCAUCCGUAAUGCUAUUUAGAUGAAAUUUAACAAGUAACUAUUGGCUAUUAAAAUGGUAAUGAAGGCUGCACUAUGACUAGAUAUGCAAAUUAGCUAAGAAGUUUGAAAAAAAUAAAUGAUUUGGGAAAGUUGUUGUCUUGGGAGCUACUUAGUAGCACGAUUCUAUUAUUCUAUUGUUUUAGUGCAUCUUUGUAUGUAAAAUAAUGAUCAUGAUCACUACGUGCUAAUUUUUUUAAGAUAUGCAGGUGUGGAAGUUAUUGAUUCAGUGAUGAAUAACCAGGUUCCUUUGUGGCUUUUGCCAACGCUCUAUUUGGUUGCAUAUGGUAUUGGUUUCUAUUGGUAAAGAGAUUGCCAAAGCCUUAAAUGUGUGAAGAUAUCUCAGGUUGACCCACCUUUAUUUCCGAUGCAUUUAUUUCCUAGGUUAUUGUCACUUAUUGUGAAUCAUUGUUUUUCUCUUUUCAAGAGCUUUCUGAUGAUGUCAAAAAUCCUUAUUUGGCCUCUCUUAAAACAUGACCUGUGGGACUAUGUUGCUUUUGCUAGAAAAGUAUUUUGGAUUUAGAACUAUGCUUCUUUACUAUAAUGGGUUGAUAUGUUGAAAGAUUAUUAGUGAUAGUGCAUAAUGGUUGGUGGACUCUAUGUAGAGGAGCAAGAGGAUUGAAAUGUUGAGUGAGCGGGACUUUUAUCGAACUAAAGUGAUUUUCCCCUUCCUUUAUAUGUUUGUGAAUUCAAUAUGAAAUACUCAUGAUUAGGAGACAUUCAUAAAUGAAGGGAUAAGAAUAUGUUGGUGCUAUGUUAAACUAAGCAUUGGUCCACAAACCUUUAUGAACCUCACUCAGUUCCUCCCCUAUUGAAAUUCCCUUUCAUCUCUGAUAUCACCGUCAACUGAUUUACUCUAGCUUAUAUUUUGCAGGUGGCAGUGAGGAUGAGAUCUUAUCUGAACUGAUAUUAUUAUGAAAAUAUUCUAGCUGAACUCAUUAGAAUGAAAAUAUUUAAGCUUUACUUAUAAAUUGCAACCUCAUGUUGCUUUCAGAAUUCAGGUUUGUUUGCAAAACCUUUAAGAAAGAAGGGCUUUACUUUUUUCAUGUUGUAAUGUUUGUAUGAGAUGGAAGCCUAUAAACUGCAAUCUCACAAUUCCACAUGAAGCAACUUAAAAAUUCUUAAUUGGUGCAUCUUUGAUGGAUGAUUAUGGUUCUUGAUUCAGUAAAGAUAAUAAUUCAGUAACAUUUGUUAGGAAAAAAAAAGCAGAGCAAAAAGAAAAUGUAUUGUGCUCUUUGAAUUUUAAUAUAAGAAUUUAUGUGUCACGAUUUGCUGAAGUAGAUUUAUUUUCUUCUAUAGCUACUAGGGUCAUGGAAAAGUCCAAAAGAAUGAGUUUGAGCAUUUCCUUUAUGAUAACUGUUUUUUGUCCAAUUAAGUUUUAAUGCUGAAGCUUUAUGGGAUACCUUUAAGUUUGGAUAAUAGCUUGCUUUUGAUAUAUUUUGCAAAGCACUUCACUUCUUUGGUCUCUUAAGUGGUUAUAAGACAUUGUUGCUGCAAUAAUAACAAAUAUGAGUAUUGCUUUAGAGUUAAAAAAUUUGUCUGGCUUUUUAUGUUUCUGAUUUGCUGUGAUUAUGGCGUUUUGCUAAGUUUAGUAUAUACGUAUAUUCUAUGUUUGUUCUGCACUUUGAGUAUUCAUUUUGCUCAAGAUUUCUUUCUGGUGCUUGCUUUCAAAGUUGCUAAACAGUGACUUUUUAACUUCAUUUCCAAGUUGAAUUGAUUUUUCAGAACUUAUUUGAUUCUGUAAACAAAAACUACAAGUGCUUUAACACCCAAUUCUGAACAAGUUGCGAUAAAUGGAGCAGCCUUGGAGUUUGGAAGAGCAGCUGUAGAAGCUGUGACUGACUAAGGCUAGAGGAGUGGACGUAGCUGGAGUAGUGGACACUGUAUCAUGUUGGGGAAGAUAUUUGAAAUGUUUUUGCUUUUGGUGUCACUUUAGCUCCAUUAAAGCCGACUUAGCUUCUUUAGUAUGUCUCUAUUAAUUAAUCAUUCAGAUUAUUUUCUUUUUUGGAAGAGCCCCUUGAAAUACACUUAAGAGAAGAUGUGACAGAAAUAUAGAAGAAGCCUUCUAGAGAAUAUGAUUGCCUUUAUCUUGGAAAUGAUGGAGGCAGCUAGGUUGCUGCUUUAUGUUUAUCCUUAUGCAUUGAAGUUGUAAAAGCUGCAUAGGUUGUAGGGAGCAGUCCUAAGUUGUUGAGGUCUAUCAAUGAAAAUUUGGCCUCAGAUUUUCUUUAGUGAUAUUAGUUUUUCUAUUUAUUAACUUUUGUAAUUAGAGCAAUGUAUUGCUCAAUUUUCAGACAUGGAUAGGGUAUUAUUGGUAUGUAGUUUCCACUUUCCAGACAUGGAUAUCUUUUCCUAACGGCAAGGGUACUCAGCAAUUUAUUAUGGAGGAAGCUUAAUGAUUGUUGUUCAAGGAGCAUCUGCUGCUUGAAUCUCUCUUAAAUGAA